rnacentral:rRNA from 1 species
AAGGCCUACGGGAGGCAGCAGUGGGGAAUAUUGCACAAUGGGGGAAACCCUGAUGCAGCAACGCCGCGUGAGUGAAGAAGUCAUUCGUGAUGUAAAGCUCUAUCAGCAGGGAAGAAAAUGACGGUACCUGAGUAAGAAGCCCCGGCUAACUACGUGCCAGCAGCCGCGGUAAUACGUAGGGAGCAAGCGUUGUCCGGAAUUACUGGGCGUAAAGGGCGCGUAGGUGGGCGCUUAAGUCAGGUGUGAAAGCUCCGGGCUCAACCUGGAGACUGCACUUGAAACUGGGUGUCUUGAGGGCAGGAGAG